AACCUAGCACACCUGCGGUGUGUACCUGCGGAAGGAUCAUUACCGAGUGCGGGUCCUCGUGGCCCAACCUCCCACCCGUGACUAUUGUACCUUGUUGCUUCGGCGGGCCCGCCAGCCCUGCUGGCCGCCGGGGGGCGUCUCGCCCCCGGGCCCGUGCCCGCCGGAGACCCCAACAUGAACCCUGUUCUGAAAGCUUGCAGUCUGAGUGUGAUUCUUUGCAAUCAGUUAAAACUUUUAGCA
rnacentral:misc_RNA from 1 species